UUUUUGGAAAUAGUCAUUAUUUAUCACGCUUCGUUUGAUUGGAUAAAAGCGAGUGAUCACGCCGGGCUUCCUGUCCCUCGAGACAUGGAAAGGAACAGCUCGCUACGAAAAUGGCUGCAAAUCGACUGAAGUGGAAAUGGACAGUGUGUAUUCAACAUAGAAGAAGAGCUACAAGCUCUGCUAUGAUCACAGCUAAAAGUGAACUAAGAAGUGGGAGUAGAGCGAGGGGACUUUUUGCUAGGAGAAUAGUGCCGAUAUUCAGAACAAUGAGAAUAGUUUCAAACCAGCUUGAAAAGGGGCCCAAAUAAGUUGCAAUCAGAGCAGCUGUCGCUUAUUGUGUUCGUGGUUGUCAAGGUUAACGUGUUCUCGCAGAGAGUGACGUCACUUGAA